UUAAUUGAAGCCAAAAAGAGGCAUAUUACUGUUAAUAAUAGAAUUGAAAUAAUUUCCAAUUAAA
rnacentral:tRNA from 1 species